CCUACGGGAGGCAGCAGUGGGGAAUAUUGCACAAUGGGGGAAACCCUGAUGCAGCGACGCCGCGUGAGUGAAGAAGUAUUUCGGUACGUAAAGCUCUAUCAGCAGGGGAGAAAAUUACGGUACCUGACUAAUAAUCCCCGGCUAACUACGUUCCAGCAGCCGAGGUAAUACGUAGGGGGCAAGCGUUAUCCGGAUUUACUGGGUGUAAAGGGAGCGUAGACGGCAGCGCAAGUCUGGAGUGAAAUUCCAUGGCUUAACCAUGGAAUUGCAUUGGAAACUGUGAAGCUGGAGUGCAGGAGAGGUAAGCGGAAUUCGUAGUGUAGCGGUGAAAUGCGUAGAUAUUAGGAAGAACACCAGUGGCGAAGGCAGCUCACUGGACUGUAACUGACAUUGAGGCUCGAAAGCGUGGGGAGCAAACAGGAUUAGAUACCCUUGUAGUC
rnacentral:rRNA from 1 species